GGAGAGGUGCUGGAGUGGUUGAACAGGCUGGUCUCGAAAACCAGUGUACCUUCUGGGUACCGUGGGUUCGAAUCCCACCCUCUCCGCCA
rnacentral:tRNA from 1 species